GAUGAACGCUGGCGGCGUGCUUAACACAUGCAAGUCGAACGGAGAAACGGUAGCUUGCUAUCUUUUUUUAGUGGCGGACGGGUGAGUAACGCGUGGGUAACCUGCCCUUUGCAGGGGGAUAACAGUGAGAAAUCGCUGCUAAUACCGCAUACCAACUUCUUUCGCAUGAAAGAAGUUUGAAAGAUUUAUCGGCAAAGGAUGGACCCGCGUUGGAUUAGCUAGUUGGUGAGAUAACAGCCCACCAAGGCAACGAUCCAUAGCCGGCCUGAGAGGGUGAACGGCCACACUGGGACUGAGACACGGCCCAGACUCCUACGGGAGGCAGCAGUGGGGAAUAUUGCACAAUGGGCGAAAGCCUGAUGCAGCGACGCCGCGUGAAGGAUGAAGGUCUUCGGAUUGUAAACUUCUAUCAGCAGGGAAGAAAGGGCUUAUAGCCUAUGACGGUACCUGACUAGAAGCCCCGGCUAACACGUGCCAGCAGCCGCGGUAAUCAUA
rnacentral:rRNA from 1 species